rnacentral:rRNA from 1 species
UACGAAGGGGGCUAGCGUUGUUCGGAAUUACUGGGCGUAAAGCGUGCGCAGGCGGCUUCUCAAGUCAGGGGUGAAAGCCCAGAGCUCAACUCUGGAAUUGCCUUUGAGACUGAGUGGCUUGAGUACGGGAGAGGUGAGUGGAAUUCCCAGUGUAGAGGUGAAAUACGUAGAUAUCUGGAGGAACACCGGUGGCGAAGGCGGCGAUCUGGCCUAACACUGACACUCAGACCCGAAAGCGCGGGGAGCGAACCGG